rnacentral:rRNA from 1 species
GGUUCACUGCCAAAAACUAAAAAAUUCUAAACUUUAUAGUGAAUAAGUAUCGUGAGAGAAAGGUGAAAAGUUUUUGAUAAAAAUUUUGAAAAGUUCUGAAAUUUAAUGCAAUGCGCAGUUAGUGUGGUAUAAUACUAACGUACCUUUUGCAUAAUGUGCUAGCUAGUUUAUUAAAAUAGCGAGCUUAAAUAUUGUUUUAGGCGUAUUGAAAAAAAUAAUUAGUUAUUUUAAUAAGACCCGAAGCUAAGUGAUCUAAUUAUGGACAGGCUGAUACUAGAUUUAUAGGGCCGAACCUGUGAAUGUUGCAAAAUUCUAGGAUGAUCUGUAGUUAGGGGUGAAAGGCUAAUCAAACUUAGUGAUAGCUGGUUUUCCGCGAAACCUAUCGACGUAGGGGGUUAAUAAUUAAGUAGUGUGGUAAAGUUAACUUAUGAAAAGUCGCAUAUCGACAAUUUAUUUGAACCUCAUAAUACACUACUAAUAAAGUUAAUACUCAGACUAAUGGCGCAAAGGUCCUUAGUCAAAAGGGAAACAGCCCUCACCGAAUAAUAAGGUGCAUAAAUACUACUAAUUACAAAGAAUUGACUAUAUCUUUUAAUUGCAGGUGGGCUUGGAAGCAGCCAUCCUUUAAAGAAAGUGUAACAACUCAUAAUUAAAUUGAGUAGGUGUGCAUAAUCUACUUGCUAUAGUUGGUUCGAAAAUGUUCGAAAUAAGUAGUAUACCGAAUUAACGGAUAUAGCUUUAAAAGCUAUGUGGUAGCGGAAUGCUUUGUAUUUUUUUGAAGUAACGUCGCUAGACUUUAUGGAGAAAUCAUAGUUAUAUAUGCUAGUAUUAGUAACAAAUAUAAUGUGCGAAACAUUAUUGCUUAAUAUUUUAGGGUUACUUUGUAUUGAUAAUCUUACAAAGUGUAAUGCGGUAUCUAUGUUUUAAAGGUAGUUGAAAUAUAUGAUGAUGGCGGUAUUUUUGUAAUUCGGUUUUUUUUUUUUUUUAAUCAUUUGUGUUUAUGUUUAUGUUUUUAAACGUAAAUACCCCCGAGUUCAGGAAAAAAAAUACCCAAUAAACCGUACUAACUCUAACACAUGUAAGUCAUUUGAAUAAAGAAAAGCAAAGGGGGUAAUAAUAUUGAAGGAACUCGGCAAAUUGGCCCCGUAACUUCGGAAUAAGGGGUACUUGAAGGUUUAAGUAAAGAGGAAGUGGCGACUGUUUAAUAAAAACAUAAGAUUUUGCCAAAUCGAAAGAUGACGUAUAAAAUCUGACGCCUGCCCAGUGCUGCAAGGUGAAAUUUUUAGGUAUAUGCCUGAAAUAUAAGCCCCAGUAAACGGCGGCCGUAACCCUGACGGUCCAAAGGUAGCAAAAUUCCUUGACGGGUAAAUUCCGUCCUGCACGAAUGGCGUAACGACUGCUUCGCUGUCUCCAGUAUUAUCCUUGUGAAUUUGAAUUGGUUGUGAAGAUGCAACCCGAUACAGCUAGACGGAAAGACCCUAUGCACCUUUACUAUGUUCUAUUUUUAGAAUUAAAUUUAAAUUCUCUAGCGAGGGGGGAGCUGCGCGUAAUUGGAAGACCCCUGAAUUUACGUUUAGUUUUUAUUUGUAUAAUAAUAAUUUUUAUACGUGUAAAUAUAGAAGGGUAGUUUGACUGGGGCGGUUGCCUCCUAAAAGGUACCGGAGGUGUGCGUAUGGUUUUAAAAAACUACAAAAAUUGUAGUA